UAGUCCACGCCGUAAACGAUGAUUACUCGCUGUAGGCGAUACACAGUCUGUGGCUAAGCGAAAGUUUUAAGUAAUCCACCUGGGGAGUACGGUCGCAAGAUUGAAACUCAAAGGAAUUGACGGGGGCCCGCACAAGCGGAGGAACAUGUGGCUUAAUUCGAUGAUACGCGAGGAACCUUACCUAGGCUAGAAUGCGAGUGCUGUACUCUGAAAGGAGUAUUUUCUUCGGAACACGAAGCAAGGUGCUGCAUGGUUGUCGUCAGCUCGUGCCGUGAGGUGUUGGGUUAAGUCCCGCAACGAGCGCAACCCCUAUCUCCAGUUGCCAGCAAGUAAAGUUGGGGACUCUGGAGAGACUGCCUGUGCAAACAGCGAGGAAGGCGGGGAUGACGUCAAAUCAUCAUGGCCUUUAUGCCUAGGGCGACACACGUGCUACAAUGGUAGGUACAGCGGGUAGCGAAACUGUAAAGUGGAGCCAAUCUUGUAAAGCCUAUCCCAGUUCGGAUUGG
rnacentral:rRNA from 1 species